GUACACGCUGUGACUAGCAUAUCAAUAAGCGGAGGAAAAGAAACUAACAAGGAUUCCCCUAGUAACGGCGAGUGAAGCGGGAAGAGCUCAAAUUUGAAAUCUUAAAGGGUUUCCCUUUACGAAUUGUAGUUUAAAGAAGUGUUUUCUGUUGAGGUUUUGGUAAAAGUUCUUUGGAAUAGGACAUCAUAGAGGGUGAGAAUCCCGUAUUUGACCUUUACUUUCAACUUUGUGAUACACUUUCAAAGAGUCGGAUUGUUUGGGAAUGCAGUCCAAAAUGGGUGGUAAAUUUCAUCUAAAGCUAAAUAUUGGCGAGAGACCGAUAGCGAACAAGUACCGUGAGGGAAAGAUGAAAAGAACUUUGAGAAGAGAGUUAAACAGUACGUGAAAUUGUCAAAAGGGAAGCGUUUGACACCAGUGUUGUUUUUCUGAAAAUCAAUUAAAGAACUGUUUAUGCUAAGUUGUUUAAACUUUAUCAGCUAUCUGUUUAGUUUUGAGCUUUUCUUUAAUGCACUUUUCAGUUAACAAGUCAACAUCAAUUUCUUUUGCUGUAAAAAAGCUUGAGGAAGGUGGCUUGAGAUUCGUCUUAAGUGUUUAUAGCCUCUUGCCUAUGCAGUCGGAGAGAUUGAGGUCUGCAGCGUAGAUCCUUCGGGGCUAAAUGCAUUUGUGCUAAGUUAUAGCAUUUUAUAGACAACUUGUUGACUAUGAUUUGUCUUGUAGCUUACUCGCUUAUGUUAUUUUACCUACGCUUAGGAUGUUGAGUCGUAGAGCACGCAG
rnacentral:rRNA from 1 species